CGAGCGCACCCUUGUCCUUAGUUGCCAUCAUUCAGUUGGGCACUCUAAGGAGACUGCCGGUGAUAAACCGCGGGGAAGGGGGGGAUGACGUCAAGUCCUCUGGGCCCUUACCGGAUUGGUUACCCCCCUGCUACAAUGGCUGUGACAAGGGGACGCGAAGGAGCGAUCUGGAGAAAUCCCCAAAAACCGUCUCAGUUCGGAUUGCAGUCUGCAACUCGAGUGCAUGAAGGCGGAAUCGCUAGUAAUCGCGGGUCAGAAUGCCGCGGUGAAUACGUUCCCGGGCCUU
rnacentral:rRNA from 1 species